AGUUUGAUCCUGGCUCAGGAUGAACGCUGACAGAAUGCUUAACACAUGCAAGUCAACUUGAAUUUGGGUUUUUAACUUUAGAUUUGGGUGGCGGACGGGUGAGUAACGCGUAAAGAACUUGCCUCACAGCUAGGGACAACAUUUGGAAACGAAUGCUAAUACCUGAUAUUAUGAUUUUAAGGCAUCUUAGAAUUAUGAAAGCUAUACGCGCUGUGAGAGAGCUUUGCGUCCCAUUAGCUAGUUGGAGAGGUAACGGCUCACCAAGGCGAUGAUGGGUAGCCGGCCUGAGAGGGUGAACGGCCACAAGGGGACUGAGACACGGCCCUUACUCCUACGGGAGGCAGCAGUGGGGAAUAUUGGACAAUGGACCAAGAGUCUGACCCAGCAAUUCUGUGUGCACGAUGACGUUUUUCGGAAUGUAAAGUGCUUUCAGUUGGGAAGAAAAAAAUGACGGUACCAACAGAAGAAGUGACGGCUAAAUACGUG
rnacentral:rRNA from 1 species